rnacentral:rRNA from 1 species
CCUACGGGUGGCAGCAGUAGGGAAUCUUCGGCAAUGGACGGAAGUCUGACCGAGCAACGCCGCGUGAGUGAGGAAGGUUUUCGGAUCGUAAAGCUCUGUUGCCAGGGAAGAGGAGACGGGAUAGGAAAUGAUCCCGUAGAGACGGUACCUGAGAAGAAAGCCCCGGCUAACUACGUGCCAGCAGCCGCGGUAAUACGUAGGGGGCAAGCGUUGUCCGGAAUUAUUGGGCGUAAAGGGCGCGCAGGCGGUCGAAGAAGUCUCGUGGUUAAGACAUCGGCUCAACCGGUGUUGUCAAGGGAAACUGAACGACUAGAGUGCAGGAGAGGAAAGUGGAAUUCCACGUGUAGCGGUGAAAUGCGUAGAUAUGUGGAGGAACACCAGUGGCGAAGGCGACUUUCUGGACUGUCACUGACGCUGAGGCGCGAAAGCGUGGGGAGCAAACAGGAUUAGAUACCCUUGUAGUC